GACGAACGCUGGCGGCGUGCUUAACACAUGCAAGUCGAACGAAGAGCGAUGGAAGCUUGCUUCUAUCAAUCUUAGUGGCGAACGGGUGAGUAACGCGUAAUCAACCUGCCCUUCAGAGGGGGACAACAGUUGGAAACGACUGCUAAUACCGCAUACGCUCUAACCUCGGCAUCGAGGAUGGAUGAAAGGUGGCCUCUAUUUAUAAGCUAUCACUGAAGGAGGGGAUUGCGUCUGAUUAGCUAGUUGGAGGGGUAACGGCCCACCCAGGCGAUGAUCAGUAGCCGGUCUGAGGGGAUGAACGGCCACAUUGGGACUGAGACACGGCCCAGACUUCUACGGGAGGCAGCAGUGGGGAAUCUUCCGCAAUGGACGAAAGUCUGACGGAGCAACGCCGCGUGAGUGAUGACGGCCUUCGGGUUGUAAAGCUCUGUUAAUCGGGACGAAAGGCCUUCUUGCGAAUAGUUAGAAGGAUUGACGGUACCGGAAGAGAAAGCCACGGCUAACUACGUG
rnacentral:rRNA from 1 species